UACGUAGGGUGCAAGCGUUAAUCGGAAUUACUGGGCGUAAAGCGCGCGUAGGCGGUUUUGCAAGUCGGGUGUGAAAUCCCCAGCUUAACCUGGGAACUGCAUUCGAGACUGCAUUACUAGAGUAUGGGAGAGGGAUGCAGAAUUCCAGGUGUAGCGGUGAAAUGCGUAGAUAUCUGGAGGAACAUCAGUGGCGAAGGCGACACCCUGGACUCAUACUGACACUGGAGGUGCGAAAGCCGUGGGGAGCAAACAGG
rnacentral:rRNA from 1 species